rnacentral:lncRNA from 1 species
CUGCUAUCCCAAGAUAACACUAACAAAGUUGACCUUAGAAUUGGAGUGCCCGGGUUAGAACCUUGCUGGUACCACCUGCUUACUGCAUGCUUCUGAUGUGAGUUCAGGAGAAGCCACUGGCAAGGACAGCAAAGAACAGGAGAACACUCUAGCUUCCCUGAUAGCAUUCAAGGUGCUGUCCAAAGCUCUUGAGUUUCUGCUUUCAAGUGACCCUCAGAAAUGCCCCCAUUCACUGCAGAGGUUCUGUUUCUCCUUGUUUUGUUCCGACUUUAUGGCAGAACUAGGUUAAUGAGUUAAUUACUAUGAGUUAUCACUUGGAUUUGAAGAACCAUCAUUUCUAGGCUUUGCUGCUCAGAGUGGGUUUGCCCUCAGGGGAAGCUAUCUAACCAGAGCCUAACCCACUAGGGUUUUAUCAGAACCUAACUGGCCUGAGGAAAAGAAAUAUUCAACUCCAGCAAGCUCCAGCCUUCCAAACGGAGGAGGAGAAAACCCAAAUCCAGCCCACUUCAGCUAUCUUGUCCCACAUAAAGGGGGAGUGGAAGAAACGUGAGAAGCAGGCAUGAAGUUCACAGUCCGGAGAUGACAUGAUUGUCUAUGCAAAAAAUUCAAAAUAAUCAACAACAAAAAAUCGUGAAACUAGUAAAUAAUUAUAGCAAGAUUUCAGGAUAUGAGAUUUAUAUACAAAGUUCAACUACUUUCAUAUAUACAAGCAAUGAAUAAGAGGGAUUUGAAAUUAAAAAUGAAACUAAUUACAUUACUACCCCCAAAA